rnacentral:rRNA from 1 species
AACGAACGCUGGCGGCAUGCCUAACACAUGCAAGUCGAACGAGACCUUCGGGUCUAGUGGCGCACGGGUGCGUAACGCGUGGGAAUCUGCCCCUUGGUUCGGAAUAACUUCGGGAAACUGAAGCUAAUACCGGAUAAUGACGUAAGUCCAAAGAUUUAUCGCCAAGGGAUGAGCCCGCGUAGGAUUAGCUAGUUGGUGGGGUAAAGGCUCACCAAGGCGACGAUCCUUAGCUGGUCUGAGGGGAUGAUCAGCCACACUGGGACUGAGACGCGGCCCAGACUCCUACGGGAGGCAGCAGUGGGGAAUAUUGGACAAUGGGCGAAAGCCUGAUCCAGCAAUGCCGCGUGAGUGAUGAAGGCCUUAGGGUUGUAAACUGCUUUUGUACGGAACGAAACGCCUCUGGUUAAUACCUGGGGGUAAUGACGGUACCGUAAGAAUAAGCCCCGGCUAACUCCGUGCCAGCAGCCGCGGUAAU